rnacentral:tRNA from 1 species
GGCGGAUGUAGCCAAGGGGAUCAGGGCGGG